CAUAUAUAUCUAAAAGAUGGAAUUAUCAAUUAAUAUUAAGUAGGGGGAUUGGUGGCACAAAAUGCAAUUAGCAAUUCAAUGUGUACUAUUCCAAAACGUCAAAUCCUGUGAUAAGACAAACUACUAUUAAGAUAUUGAUUACUUUUAUAACUUUGUGAGUUAGUUUAUUUGUUUCAAUAUCUGUCAUUUAUCACACGACUUUUAUAGGUAGAAGGAAUAUGUGCAAGAUAUCCUAUUUGUAUAAAAGUAAAAAAUCAUUCAAUUUU
rnacentral:lncRNA from 1 species